rnacentral:misc_RNA from 1 species
GAUGAAGAACGCAGCGAAAUGCGAUACGUAGUGUGAAUUGCAGAAUUCAGUGAAUCAUCGAAUCUUUGAACGCACAUUGCACCUCUCGGUAUUCCGGGAGGUAUGCCUGUUCGAGCGUCAUUUGUACCCUCAAGCUCUGCUUGGUGUUGGGUGUUUGUUCCGCCUCUGUGUGUGAACUCGCCUCAAAACAAUUGGCAGCCGGCGUACUUGUUUCGGAGCGCAGCACAUUUUGCGAUCCUGAUCAACGUACAGCGGCAUCCAAGACGCCUUAUUUAACGCUCUUGACCUCGGAUCAGGUAGGGAUACCCGCUGAACUUAAGCAUAUCAAUAAGCGGAGGA